rnacentral:rRNA from 1 species
AUAUCAAUAAGCGGAGGAAAAGAAACCAACAGGGAUUGCCCCAGUAACGGCGAGUGAAGCGGCAACAGCUCAAAUUUGAAAUCUGGCCCUCUUGGGGGUCCGAGUUGUAAUUUGUAGAGGAUGCUUCGGUGUCGGCCCCGUGCCAAGUUCCUUGGAACAGGACGUCCGAGAGGGUGAGAGCCCCGUAUCGGCUCGGGUGGCCUUCGCCGUGUGAAGCUCCUUCGACGAGUCGAGUUGUUUGGGAAUGCAGCUCUAAGCGGGAGGUAUAUUUCUUCUAAAGCUAAAUAUUCGGUGUCACCGAUAGCGAACAAGUAGAGUGAUCGAAAGAUGAAAAGCACUUUGGAAAGAGAGUUAAACAGCACGUGAAAUUGUUGAAAGGGAAGCUCUUGCCCCCAGACUUGCCCGCGAUCGUUCAGCCUUCCUUUUGGGUGGUGUAUUCGUCCGCGGGCGGGCCAGCAUCAGCUCAAGCGGCCGGAUAAAUACCUUGGGAAUGUAGCUCCCCACGGGGAGUGUUAUAGCCCUUGGUGUAA